GAGAGCAGGGAAUGAGGGAUGGGGGGCUGAGAGCGGUGAGGGAGUGAUGGGGCAGAGAUGCCUGUGAAGGUCCUGAGGGGGAUGAGGGAUCCCGAGGGCUGCCCAGUGAGAGAUGUGGGCCCCCAACCAGCCCUGGAGGAGCUCUCUGUGCAUCCAGUGCUGCCAUCAGACUCCUCCUGCCCUCCACAAGCUUCGCCCAGCCCAGCAUUCAAGUCAUUCAAAUAAAUACCAGAGUUCAUGUGUAAAGAUGAUUUUCACCACUUGUGAUCACUGAAAUGUUUCUCCUAAGUUUUGAGUUUUCAACGCAAGGUAUAUACAUAACUCCUGGUAUCAGCUUGGUCAUCUCCAGUCCCGUUGCCAGGGCAGUGCAGUGGAUUGCAGUGUGUGCCUCCUUAUCAAGGGAAAUGCAUCUGCUACGGCUCUGAACUUCCUGGACAAGACGUCCCAAAUUGGGGGGUUCUCUCCUCUUUCUCCCUCCUUUUGCCUGACAAAAAUGCCUCAGGAAACACAGCUCCAGCCCUAGCCCCUUGAUCAGUCGAGCAGUUCAUGCAGCACUCUACUCUUCAAAGGAGAAAAGGUGACAUUACAGCUCUCAGACUGACAGAAUUAACACCAUGUACAUUUCAUUCCAUGAAUCUUCCUCAGUGUGCUUCAUCUCCUGACAAAGAGACUUAGCAGUCAAAAUUCUGUCCCCUGAUAGAACUCGAAAAGGAGGAAUGAAGUGGCCUGUUGAAGACUGUGGUAACUGCUGGGCUGGUGAAUGGAGAUGAAUUUUGUCAACUUGUAUUCUAUGCCUUCAACAGUUUGAGCUCUUGGGCCCUGUGACUGUGCUGGAAGUUCAAAAGGAAAUAAACACAGAGCCCAAUACAUAUUGAAUUCAACUUGAGACAGGCUAUCUAGGAAGUACUGACACCAUUCAUACAAAAGGUUGGACUUAACACAUGUUCUUGAUGUCACAGCACUGCAUGCACACAACACCCUGCUCUCCAGGGAUCUGUGGGAUCUACAUGUUUGACCCCAGGAUUUCUGAGGAUCGCCACAGGCAUCGUUCCAAGAACCAUGAAAUACUCCUCUGGCUGCUCAGAUCCGAGGAGGAAAUGCCAGCUCCAUACCCAGCAGUGGAGCAGCACAACUGCAGAGCGCUUUGGGCACGCUGGAGACACGCCAGAGCAGUGAAAAUACCUCCUGAUGGCAGCUGGGUGAAAACUGUGGGGCAGGGGAAAACAUCCAAUGGGCUGUGGGCAUAAAAUAAUGGAAUUAAACUGCUUUGUGCUGUCAGAAGGCAUGCCUAUAACACUAGCAGUCCAGGAAUUUACCAGAACAUACAAAACUCGUAUCAGCGAUAAAACUAGAGCGUAACCACUGCAUGUAUCAAGCAAGAUGAUCCUUUGAAUGUUGCUGGAAUACUUUCCUGACCCUGAAACCACUGACAAUUUCCACUGCAGAAGUGUGUGCUAAAGAUGGAUUUACUGGGGUCCAACCCUCCAAACCGUGUCUGAAGAAUUUCAACACCAGGUUCCUGCAGUUUCAGAACUCUUGUGCCCUCCAAUACUUACCUCUGAAUUUCUCACUUUCAGUCCAUGACUCCCAAACGCACUGACGCACUUGACCAAAUUUACCCUGGCACAAGGAUUCACUGGAGUAUUUACCUACAGCACAGUUGUACCACACAGGGGAGAUUUCAAGCGGGGCAGGGGGUAGAGGUUAUCCAAACCACCUCCAAUCCCCAGCCCCAGCCAUUGUGCAGCACUUUCACCAGGUAAAUACUACAGCAGGAGUCAAAGGAAGUCAGGAAGAGUCUGAGAGCGAUCUGUCACCGAAAUUUGAAUGAUGUAUUUAAUAACACUGUGAAAUAGCACACUUUAGCUCCAGUAGCUCAUCAGCCUUAGCUCCCCUGAUCUGUGCACGGCGCUGACAGCUCCUUAACAUAACAAUGGGAUCCACGGGCCAAACUCACCACCGGAGCAGCUCUGCUGAAGUCAGCGAGGCUAUGUCAGAAUUCAUUCUGCCCAGCAAUCACUCUGCAUUAUCCGGGCUGCUGGUGGGGCCGCAACACCUGAGGAAUGACAAACCCGGGAAAAUGUUUACACACUGAAGUGGCUAAAAGCACCUUCGGAGAUGACAGCUCGUUGUGGGUUUCCAGAAGCUGAGGAACAGCUGCUCUUCCCUGUUUUAUCAACUGGGGAAAUGCAGGGGGGCAACUGGUGAGGUUGGUGUCACCUAUUUUCAGCUCUCACCUUCUUCCAUCUCUGCCCCUGCUCCUUCUAUUGCCCUCGGCAGGUCACUGGCUCCUUGCUGCUAUUUUCACCUACCUGGGGAAAUGAGGAUGAGGACGAUAAUGUAAGAGGUGUUUUGAAGAUCAAUUCAAUAGUACUUAAGGCCCUUUCAGAUGCUCAACUGAGAGCAUGGGUGUAUAGAAAAUCAAAGUAUAAUUAUUAUGAAAAUGUACGGUAUUGUUCAGAGUAAAAGGGAAGGGAAGGCAGAAUGAUGAGAUAAUCAGACCACUGGAACUGAAGGAUUUAGAGACAUGAUAUUAAGUAGGUAAAAAGAAGCAUUUUUAAUUGAGCUUAGGGAGGGUGUUCCUUCCAAGAAAUGUUCAUUUCCUUAAUUAUUUUUUUUAUGUUAACCUUUGAGGUUGCGCAAGCCUCUAAGACCAUGAAGUACAGCCUUUAACCCAGUACCACAUGUUCACCACUAAACCAAGUUCCCAGGUGCCACAGUGCUGGUGUCUGAAAGAGAUAUGGCUGUAUGGUUGGGAAUGGGAAGCUGUGAAAUGGUGUUUUAAGGGCUCAAGCCUGUAACCAUAUUCACCAGAUCAGCAAAUACAACAUUAAGAAGUCUAGAUUUAGGUCCCCUACUGUUUUGUUAUUAUUGGUUAUAUUAUCAGAGAAAAGCUUACUUGCUAUAAAAACAUAAGUUUGCUAUAAUUGUGAGUCUUUUGUUAAGAACCAUGUCAUCAAAAAACACCUGAAGAUUUACCAUGCUUGAAUUUAUUAGAGAUGAAAGGCCUUCAAUUCCCUUGGUUGCUCCUGAGGAGCCAAUGUUCCUUCUGCAAGCAGUAUUCCUUUCCAGAGGACAUGAAAUGGAGUACCUCCAGCUCACUCCAGAAAAGGCUAAAGGGGUGGCAUUUACAAAUCUCACAUUGCCACAAAUCACAUCAACUGUAGCUGUUCUGUACGCGAUGCAAAGUCAGACAAAAAUGAGAUACAACACUCAGAGUGUGGAACUGGUGUUACCCUACAUUUCAUUUCUUGAACUUUAUCUGCUUGUUUGGAUUCCACAGUAUCAUGAACAUUCCAGUAGCAGCCCUCUCGUUGGGGUUUCUAUUUAUAGCAUUCUCCCUCCUCACUGGAUGCCCCUCCACUUUACUUCCAAAGAGGCGGUAAUUAGGGUCUUAAAGCAGAAUUCAUAUAUCUUAAAUCAUUUAAUUUAGAUACAAAAUAUAUUCAAUAUACCUUGCAAAAGACAAUUGGGGUGGUUUUUGUAUCUCUUUGCUAUACUGCGAAAGAGGGUACAUUUCUAAACAUUCCUCUUUCACAUUUUCUCCUGUUUUUCUCUUAUGUGUUGGGGGCUAACAGCCACCAUCUCCACAAAUUCCAGAUUUCACACAUGCACAUAUUUAGCCAUAAGGCAAUUCUGAACUUUCAAAAUUAAGCAUACAGCUAAUCCCUGUAGGAUACAAGAUUUCUUUUGCAUUCUAAAUAAUUUCUGUCUUCAUAGCAGAACUACUUAGCUCUGUGUAGACUCAGACUUUGGCACUGAAUUGGAGAGACAGGUUUGAAGGAGGGACUCUUGGAUGGAUAAGGACCUGGCUGGAUGGCUGCCUCCAAAAAGUUACAGGAAAUCGCUCUGCAUCCAAGUGGGAACCAGUAACCAGUGGCAUAGUAAAUUAAUAUCAGCACCUAAAAGGGAGCUGGAGAGGGAAUUUGGGCAAGGACCUGGAGUGACAGGAGCCAGGGAA